AACGAACGCUGGCGGCAGGCCUAACACAUGCAAGUCGAGCGCCCUGCAAGGGGAGCGGCGGACGGGUGAGUAACGCGUGGGAAUUUUUCCUGGAGUACGGAACAACCGAGGGAAACUUCGGCUAAUACCGUAUGAUGCCGAGAGGCCAAAGAUUUAUCGCUCUGGGGUGAGCCCGCGUCAGAUUAGGUAGUUGGUGGGGUAAUGGCCUACCAAGCCUGCGAUCUGUAGCUGGUCUGAGAGGACGAUCAGCCACACUGGGACUGAGACACGGCCCAGACUCCUACGGGAGGCAGCAGUGGGGAAUCUUGCGCAAUGGGCGAAAGCCUGACGCAGCCAUGCCGCGUGAGUGAAGAAGGUCUUAGGAUUGUAAAGCUCUUUCGCUCGUGACGAUGAUGACGGUAACGAGAGAAGAAGCCCCGGCUAACUUCGUGCCAGCCGCCGCGGUAA
rnacentral:rRNA from 1 species